GCUCAGACUCAUUAACUGUCUCUCUUCCUUGUUGCGGUGAUGGAGGACGGACCAGCCGCAGCCGAGGCACCGAAAUCAACCUGCUGAAGGCCUCGUUUCACGGACUGAAGAACCCACGAUGGACAUAUUUUUAUAAGGUGGUGAGAACCCUGCAGGAGCUCCAGCUCUGCUUUAUCGCCUCAGUUUGAGGUCUUCUAGUUUAAAUCUGAAUAUUGAUGCUUUGUCAUAGUGUUUAGUCUGUUUAGAGCGGUAAUGAAUCCUGAUUUAAGAUACUUGGUGGACGCUUUAUUAGCAAUAUCUGUACAGUUGGUUGCAUUUCAAUAAAGCAGCUCUGCUAUACUUGA